AAUAGAUACCCAGGUAGUCCACGCCGUAAACGAUGAGUGCUAGGUGUUGGGGGCAUCACGUCCUCAGUGCCGAAGGAAACCCAAUAAGCACUCCGCCUGGGGAGUACGGCCGCAAGGCUGAAACUCAAAGGGAUUGACGGGGGCCCGCACAAGCGGUGGAGCAUGUGGUUUAAUUCGAAGCAACGCGAAGAACCUUACCAAGGCUUGACAUCCCAUUGACCGCGCUAGAGAUAGUGCUUCCCUUCGGGGUAAUGGUGACAGGUGGUGCAUGGUUGUCGUCAGCUCGUGUCGUGAGAUGUUGGGUUCAGUCCCGCAACGAGCGCAACCCUUAUCCUUAGUUGCCAGCAGGUAAAGCUGGGCUCUCUAAGGAGACAGCCGGUGAAAGCCGGAGGAAGGUGGGGAUGACGUCAAAUCAUCAUGCCCCUUACGUCUUGGGCUACACACGUGCUACAAUGGAUGGUACAAAGGGCAGCAAAACCGCGAGGUCGAGCAAAUCCCAUAAAGCCAUUCUCAGUUCGGA
rnacentral:rRNA from 1 species